CCUACGGGAGGCUGCAGUGGGGAAUAUUGGACAAUGGGGGGAACCCUGAUCCAGCCAUGCCGCGUGUGUGAAGAAGGCCCUCGGGUUGUAAAGCACUUUCAGUGAGGAAGAACGCCUGGUGGUUAAUACCCAUCAGGAAAGACAUCACUCACAGAAGAAGCACCGGCUAACUCCGUGCCAGCAGCCGCGGUAAUACGGAGGGUGCGAGCGUUAAUCGGAAUUACUGGGCGUAAAGCGCGCGUAGGUGGCUUGAUAAGCCGGUUGUGAAAGCCCCGGGCUCAACCUGGGAACGGCAUCCGGAACUGUCAAGCUAGAGUGCAGGAGAGGAAGGUAGAAUUCCCGGUGUAGCGGUGAAAUGCGUAGAGAUCGGGAGGAAUACCAGUGGCGAAGGCGGCCUUCUGGACUGACACUGCCACUGAGGUGCGAAAGCGUGGGUAGCAAACAGGAUUAGAUACCCGAGUAGUC
rnacentral:rRNA from 1 species